rnacentral:rRNA from 1 species
CGGCAGCCUCGCCGACCGUUUCCGAAAGGCUCGGCGCCCGCGCACGACGCGUCGGUCACGAACUCCGGCAGCGGCGCCCCGCUCUGCGGCGAGUAGAUCGGCGACCCNUCCGACCCGUCUUGAAACACGGUCCAAGGAGUUUAACAUGUGAGCGAGUGAUUGGGUGGCGAGAGACCCAAACGCACAAUGAAAGUGAAGGCCCGGACAGCCGGGCCGAGGGGCGAUCCCGCCGCUCCGGCGACGGGCGCAGCCCCGGGACGCGCCGAUCGCCACGUCGACGGCUCGUACCCCGAGCGCACACGUUGGGACCCGAAAGAUGGUGAACUAUGCCUGGCCAGGACGAAGUCAGAGGAAACUCUGAUGGAGGUCCGUAGCGAUUUUGACGUGCAAAUCAAUCGUCCGAGCUGGGUAUAGGGGCGAAAGACUAAUCGAACCAUCUAGUAGCUGGAUCCAUCCGAAGUUUCCCUCAGGAUAGCUGGCGCUCGCANGACCGAGUUUCAUCCGGUAAAGCGAAUGAUUAGAGGCCUUGGGGCCGAAACGANCUCAACCUAUUCUCAAACUUUAAAUGGGUGAGAAGUCGGGCUUGCUCGACUGAAGCACCGACCNUNGAAUCNAGAGUGCCAAGUGGGCCACUUUUGGUAAGCAGAACUGGCGCUGUGGGAUGAACCAAACGCAGAGUUAAGGUGCCCGAGAGAACGCUCAUCAGAUCCCAUGAAAGGUGUUGGUUGCUAUAGACAGCAGGACGGUGGCCAUGGAAGUCGGAA